GACGAACGCUGGCGGCGUGCUUAACACAUGCAAGUCGAACGGAAAGGCCCUGCUUUUGUGGGGUGCUCGAGUGGCGAACGGGUGAGUAACACGUGAGUAACCUGCCCUUGACUUUGGGAUAACUUCAGGAAACUGGGGCUAAUACCGGAUAGGAGCUCCUGCUGCAUGGUGGGGGUUGGAAAGUUUCGGCGGUUGGGGAUGGACUCGCGGCUUAUCAGCUUGUUGGUGGGGUAGUGGCUUACCAAGGCUUUGACGGGUAGCCGGCCUGAGAGGGUGACCGGCCACAUUGGGACUGAGAUACGGCCCAGACUCCAACGGGAGGCAGCAGUGGAGAAUAUUGCACAAUGGGCGGAAGCCUGAUGCAGCAACGCCGCGUGCGGGAUGACGGCCUUCGGGUUGUAAACCACUUUCGCCUGUGACGAAGCGUGAGUGACGGUAAUGGGUAAAGAAGCACCGGCUAACUACGUG
rnacentral:rRNA from 1 species